AAACUUGAGAGUUUGAUCAUGGCUCAGAACGUACGCUGGCGGCACGCCUAACACAUGCAAGUCGAACGAAGUAGCAAUACUUAGUGGCAGACGGGUGAGUAACAUGUGGGUAUCUGCCCUUUGGCCUGGAAUAACACGAGGAAACUUGUGCUAAUACCGGAUAAGUCUUUACGGAGAAAGCUUUAUGCACCAUUGGAUGAGCCCGCACUUGAUUAGUUUGUUGGUAGGGUAAUGGCCUACCAAGACUAUGAUCAAUAGCUGAUUUGAGAGGAUGAUCAGCCACAUUGGGACUGAGACACGGCCCAAACUCCUACGGGAGGCAGCAGUGGGGAAUCUUGCACAAUGGAGGAAACUCUGAUGCAGCGAUGCCGCGUGAGUGAAGAAGGCCCUUGGGUUGUAAAGCUCUUUCGUCGGGGAAGAAAAUGACUGUACCCGAAUAAGAAGGUCCGGCUAACUUCGUGCCAGCAGCCGCGGUAAUACGAAGGGACCUAGCGUAGUUCGGAAUUACUGGGCUUAAAGAGUUCGUAGGUGGUUAAAAAAGUUGGUGGUGAAAUCCCAGAGCUUAACUCUGGAACUGCCAUCAAAACUUUUUAGCUAGAGUAUGAUAGAGGAAAGCAGAAUUUCUAGUGUAGAGGUGAAAUUCGUAGAUAUUAGAAAGAAUACCGAUUGCGAAGGCAGCUUUCUGGAUCAUUACUGACACUGAGGAACGAAAGCAUGGGUAGCGAAGAGGAUUAGAUACCCUCGUAGUCCAUGCCGUAAACGAUGUGUGUUAGACGUUGGAAAUUUAUUUUCAGUGUCGCAGCGAAAGCGAUAAACACACCGCCUGGGGAGUACGACCGCAAGGUUAAAACUCAAAUGAAUUGACGGGGACCCGCACAAGUAGUGGAGCAUGUGGUUUAAUUCGAAGAUACGCGCAGAACCUUACCAACACUUGACAUGUUCGUCGCGACUCUAAGAGAUUAGAGUUUUCGGUUCGGCCGGACGAAACACAGGUGCUGCAUGGCUGUCGUCAGCUCGUGUCGUGAGAUGUUGGGUUAAGUCCCGCAACGAGCGCAACCCUCACUUUUAGUUGCCAUCAUUAAGUUGGGCACUCUGAAAGAACUGCCAGUGAUAAGCUGGAGGAAGGUGGGGAUGACGUCAAGUCCUCAUGGCCCUUACGUGUUGGGCUACACACGUGCUACAAUGGUAUCUACAACAGGAAGCAAAACAGCGAUGUUAAGCAAAUCCCGAAAAGAUACCUCAGUUCGGAUUGCACUCUGCAACUCGAGUGCAUGAAGCUGGAAUUACUAGUAAUCGUGGAUCAGCGUGCCACGGUGAAUGCGUUCCCGGGUCUUGUACACACCGCCCGUCACACCAUGGGAGUUGGUUCUACCUUAAGGCAAGGUUUAAUACCCUUGACCACGGUAUAGUCAGCGACUGGGGUGAAGUCGUAACAAGGUAGCCGUAGGGGAACCUGCGGCUGGAUUACCUCCUUU
rnacentral:rRNA from 1 species